AUUAAUUAGGUGUUACCAAGGUUUAUACACAGUGUUCCAGAAUAAUGGAAUAAGUUAAUGGUUUGAAGAGUAAGAUGAAAUAAGUUGUAGAGAAGUCAUGAUGUAAUAUGAGUGGUGUAAAUGUUGCCAUUUUUUUUUUUUUAAGUUGCCAUGCAUGUUGGAUGUGGCUAUUGGAGAAGACGAAUCACUCGACAACACAAAUGAAAGGGACAUCCGUAGAAACGAGCAUCUUGCACUGUCUCUCGAAUACCAACUCCAUGACUGAACACACUUUGAUCCUUAUAGCUUUCACUAUCAGUUCAGGCAUGCAUGAAUAUAGUAAUUAAUGAAUACGAGAGUCCAGGCUGAGUGCAAACUAAAACUAAAUGCUAUCGUGCAAAAAUGCAUCACUUGCCACCAGAGCCGGUCCUAUACAUUUGGAGGCUACAAGCCAAAAAUCAAAUAAAGGCCGGAAUAAUAUAAAUGCGUUAAGGUGGAGUUGAACCCAGCCUCUCUCACAGUAGAAUUUUGCCUCAAAACCGCUAAGCUAAAGUCAUUAGGAAAUUUUGUGGCCGAUUAUAUAGUUAUUCUUGUGCAGCUGGAACCCCAUGCUUCAUCCGGCACUGCUUGCCACCACACCAUUCUAACAUGUAGAAAAUGACUUGUUUCCCUGACCAAAGUUAGCGCUGUACAUUUGCAUCUAGUUACCAACCCAUCACUCAGAAUUGCGGGUACCUCGACCUUUUUUGUGUUUUAAAUUAGACCGGAAGCUAAAGAGAAUAAUUAUUUAAAUAACGAUUCAAAAUUAUUCAAAAUAUUAUUAUAUAGUGUGGUAAAUAAUAAAAAUAUUAAUAAAUAUGAAAUAUAAAGCAUUGGAAAUAUUAAAUAUUUUUUAUUCAUCUAAUUUGUGAAUUUUGAUUUAAUGAUUUUUGUUUGGUUCAAUAGUUUCAAGAUCAAAUUUGACUACAUGACUGUUUCACGAUCGAAUGCGGUCAUGGUUUUAAAAACACUGUUUUUUAUUUUGGAACCGGAACCAAACUUAAAACGUAAACAAAUAUAGCAGCUUAAUAUUUUACUUAAAAAAUAUAGCCACAAAAAUACAUACAUGAAGGAGGCUGUUAUUUGUGUUACGAUAUGGCUGGAGCCAAUGGAAGUACCGACUUAACGUCUUGUGAGCUUUGAGGUCUGCCAAAUUGGUUCUUUGAUUCUUUGGAUAGAAAAAUUCUUCAAGUCCACAAACAAGCUACCUUGACUUGUUUAUAUCCGUUGUUUUAAGAUCGGUGCACUCCUUCCCAGUGGCUGCUAUCAUCAGGACAUAUGAUUUGGUUUCUUCAAUGAGAUUUUUGACUUAAAUUUAGAUUUUCCAUUUUCUCAUUUUUUAAAAUCAUUUGGCUCCGGAAGGACCGUGAUCUUUGCCGACUAUUUGUGCAAAAAAUCUCAUGUUUUCAAAUUAAUCCAAUGAAUGAUAAAAAAGAGAGGCUGAUACGACUUUUCCAGCCAAAUAAAAUAUAAUAAUCUACUAAUAAUAGUAAUCCCAAUUAAUUCCAAAUAUUGUGAAUCCCAAUAUUGAAAGGUUGUGUCUUUACAUAAAAACUGAGAUUAGUUUUGUUUUUCCAAUAUGCAACUUUUGGAUUUUUUUUAAAUAGUUAAAAUAUCUUAUUAGUGUCUUUUUACAAUUAUUAGGUUAGAUAGUUGUGUCAUCUCAAUAGAAAAAUAUUGAUGCAAAAAGAAAGUUUCAAUUUAGCUUGAAAAUAUGUAAUAUUUAUCUACAAAUGAUUAAAAUUGUGGUCAGAUAAUACAAGCCCUAAAAUUAUGUGUUAUCAAAAAGCUGCUACAAAGCAAUCGUUCUAAAUGUAAUUAACAAUUGCAUCCCUUUCAGAAACAAUUACAAUGCUUCAUAAAAUAUAUAAGUGACUAACUUUGCUCUUUUAAAUAAGACCUACCUGACGCUGACGUGGCGCGUUGAGGCGUGAGUAAAGUGCCUUAUUAUAAUGUAGAUUUACUCUGUGAGUAUAUAGUCUGAAAACUGUAAAUGUUUUUUUUUCACAAUUGAACUUGAGCAAAUAAAACUUGAAUUUAUGGACUGUAUUGAAUCCAAUGUCGCUACAAAGUUUGUGCAUAUUUUCAACUAGCUAUGUCAAAUUCUUCUUCUUAUAUCUAUUUGAUCUUUACUUCAGAUCCAUCCCUCUUUAAGUUGGUUCUGUAGAUCUUCUCUGAAAUGUCCCAGAUUUUUCUGUGAACCCUAGGAAACACCCCCAGUUUUCGUCCAUUGAUUUUUAAUCUGAUUAUUUUCAGACUACAGAAGUUAAAUUUGAUACUUGAGUAACUAAUAAUGACAAUUUUGAUGUGAUGCAGCAUGAUUCGGACACUUGAGAGGUACCAAAAGUGCAAAUAUGGACCUCCAAAGCCCAAUGUGCCUUCAAGAGAUGAGGCCUUAGCAGUUGUACCUCUUCCUUCUCUUUCUUUUUUUUUCUGCUUAAUCAAAAACAUGAAUUGGUUUGGUUAAUUCAAAUCCAAUAAUGGUAAACUUUUUUUGGCGAGUAGGAACUUAGAAGCUAACAGGAGUGAGUAUCUCAAGCUUAAGGAGCGUUACGACGCCUUGCUGAGAGCCCAAUUAAUCGGUUCAUUUUAAGCUACUGCUUCUUUUAAAAAUUCAUGAAGACUUUUGUCUUGAAAUAUUAUAGGAAUCUAUUGGGAGAAGAUCUUGGACCUCUGAGUACAAAGGAGCUUGAGUCACUUGAGAGACGGCUUGAUUCUUCUUUGAAGAAGAUCAGAGCUCUCCGGACACAGCUCAUGCUCGACCAGAUCAAUGAUCUCCAGAGUAAGUUAGCUGAUGGAUAUCAGAUGCCACUCAACUCAACCCGAUCCAAGAAGAUCAUGUUGACUACGGUCGUCAUGAUCAACAGCAGCACUUUCAUCAUGCUUUCUUCCACCCUUUGGAAUGCGAGCCCAUUCUUCAAAUCGGGUAACUAACUAUUACUUUAUAUGAUUAAUUUUGAUCUCUACGUAUAAGAUAUUUUUAGCAUAUAUUAAGUAAAACUUUAUGUAACGAUGGAGCCGCAGGUACCAGGGGCAGCAAGAUCAUGGAAUGAAAGCAGGACCAAGUGUGAAUAAUUACAUGUGGUAUUGGUUACCAUGUGACGCCAACUCUAUUUGAUAUUUCUACAAGUUUUUUUGACUUUUUAUAUUAAAACUUUCUCUUCCCCUCUUAGACUACAUGAUAUGAGUACUUCUCUCUCUCUAAAUCUAUGCCUUGAGUGCAUUCGUUUAUGUGUAUUUUUUAUUAUGCCCUUCUAUAAUUCAAUGAUAUUUUGAAGAAAAUUUUAUUCGCCUUAUCUCCGACACUGUCACACUAAAAUCUGUAGUACAUCUAGAUAUAUACAUAUUCCCUUCUGAGCUUCUAUAUUUGCAGUUUCUGUUAAGUACAGUAUACACGCUUCCAGCUCCAAAAUCUUUUUGACUCCCAUUUUGUGUUAUGUAGUAAGGGUAAGAGACUUUUGUGUGAGCAUAUAAUUUAACAAUGAACAUUAGUGUAAAGCGGAUAGAAAAUAUAACUCACACCAGUUUUUCCAGAUGUCUUGUUUCUUAAUGCAAACUAACAGAAAAGAAGAAGUUAUCGUGUAUUACAAAAGGUUUGUCAUCGCUGAUGUCUGUGGCCAGCGAACUGUAUGCAGUCGGAAGUGAAAAAAUGACCUCAUGUACUUACUCUUAGGGAUCUGAGACAAUUAACAAGUAAUGCAGCUGCUGUUGUAAUCUGAGAUAUGAGAACAGACUAAAAAAAGCAUUUGUCACUCUAGAAAAAACGUUGGAAAAAUAUCUAAACCAAACCAAGGUGAUAUCUACGGAAUCGUUUUGCCAAGAACUGAAACGAUCAAGUGAAAAAUCUCAAAGGUGAAGAAAAGAGAAAUGACAUGAAAAAAAAGAUGUGGAACUUUCUUAUAAUAAAUUGUUGGUGCAAGAGCAAGGUGUUGGAACCAAUUCUUAUAUAAGCUAAAUGGACUGAGUAAAAAAUUGAAUAAGCUUGAAUACAACUUUUAUAAGUCCAUUGACUUGAAUAAAAUUUUGAUUCAAUGUGAAAAGAAAUGAAGAUUUUUGGACCUGUACCUUCUUCUUCUCAUUCAUGGCUAUCCAAAGAUGAUGUGUUCACAAAAAAGAAAAAAAGAGAGGCUAUCGAAGGUGACCCCUAAAUAGCUUUCCAUGUUGCCUUUCGUAUCAAAAAUGUAAUGACAAAGAGUCAAAGAUCCAUACAUCUGUUGUAUCGAAGGUGACCCCUAAAGAGUUUGUGUAUGUUUUACAGAGAAUGCAGGCAAGGUUGUAUUAUUAAAGGUAUUUACAAGUCUCAGUUCACAUUUCUCAUUCUCUGUCUUUACUCUUGCAUUCAGACUUGACUUCACACUAUAAAACAUACACAAACUUAUGGAGACUCAUGAUGACGUUUCACAUGAAUUGACGAAUUACAUCUUGAGACAGUUACACAAGAAGACACAUUGUGUGUUUGUUUCUCGGUGGAAGACACAAUGUGAAUUUGGCACACAUUCCUUCCACUUUAUCCCGCCAGCUGUCCUUUAUUGUCCAGAACUACCCUUGGUUAUUGUAAAGAUAGUGUUAGCUUUUUAGAAGUCUUGUUUCUUUCUUUGUAACUAUAUUACAGUUCAGUUGUAAUAAAUGUAAAGGUAUAUUGGAUACAGCUAAUGGGUUUUAUGUUGGAUGGUGCAGUCGUGGAUGGAAGAUAUGUGAACGUGUGGACGAGGCUUCAUGGACAAAUUUUCGUGGACGAGGUUUUUAAUCUUACAAGAGUUUCGUAGACUAGAUUUCAUGGACGAAGUCUUGUGGAUGGUUUUAGUGGAUUAUAAGUUCAUCAUUUUCAUAAAAAGAUGAUCAAACUUUUCUUUCAUAUAUAAUAAAUUUAAGUGGACACACUAUCGUGGACAAUAUAUUGUGGACACUGCAAUUUGAAAGAAUGUAUUGUGACGGUGCAAUUCGAAAGAAUGAGUGAUGGACGGUGUUAGUUAUGGAUGGUGCGUAUGUGGAAGUGUAUGUGCAAUUUGAAAGAAUGAGUUAUGGAUGGUGCUAGUUAUGGAUGGUGUGUAUGUGGAAGUGUAUGUUGGUUCAUAUAGAUAAUGACCAUGAUCUACUAAAACAACUAACCAUUUAAAACAAUAACAUUGAAAAGAAAGACACACUGAUUAGUUCCUUUAAAAGAGAAAAACAACAAAUAAUCAUUUAGGACAACAUGCUCAAAACAAUUUAACACUGAUGAAGUAGUUCUUGA